rnacentral:rRNA from 1 species
UACGGGGGGGGCAAGCGUUGUUCGGAAUUACUGGCGUAAAGGGCUCGUAGGCGGCCAACUAAGUCGGAUGUGAAAUCCCCAGGCUCAACCUGGGAACUGCAUCCGAUACUGGAUGGCUUGAAUUCGGGAGAGGGAUGCAGAAUUCCAGGUGUAGCGGUGAAAUGCGUAGAUAUCUGGAGGAAUACCGGUGGCGAAGGCGGCAUCCUGGACCGACAUUGACGCUGAGGAGCGAAAGCCAGGGGAG